AGUGAACGCUGGCGGCGUGCCUAAUACAUGCAAGUCGAACGGAGUGGCGCACGGGUGAGUAAUGUAUAGCUAAUCUGCCCUACACUAGAGGACAACAGUUGGAAACGACUGCUAAUACUCUAUAGUGUAGGAUGAGGCUAUAUUGUAUCAGCUAGUUGGUGAGGUAAUGGCUUACCAAGGCUAUGACGCAUAACUGGUCUGAGAGGAUGAUCAGUCACACUGGAACUGAGACACGGUCGAGACUCCUACGGGAGGCAGCAGUAGGGAAGAAUGCGCAAUGGGGGAAGCCCUGAAGCAGCAACGCGGCGUGGAAGAUGACACUGUUCAGAGCGUAAACUCCUUUUGUUAGGGAAGCGGUACCUAACGAAUAAGCACCGGCUAACUCCGUGCCAGCAGCCGCGGUAAUAC
rnacentral:rRNA from 1 species